UGAGAGAGUGAGAGACAGACAGCAGAGGGAUGGGCAAAGGGAGAGAGGAGAAUGUCAAGCAGACUUGACUGAGUGCAGAGCCUGAUGCAGGGCUCGAUUCCAUAACUCUGAGAUCAUGACUUGAACCAAAAUCAAUUCAGACACUUAACUGAGUCACCCAGGUGCACCCUUCAUGUCCCUUUUUAAAAUAAUUAUUCAAAAUAUUAUUCACUUAACAUCUAUUGAGCACCAUCUAUUUGGUGGGCUUUGUGCUAUGCAUAUUCCUGUUCAUUGUGCACAGUUUUGCUUUUAGUUGCUUCUUUGUAUAGGUUGUGAAGUUCUGGCCAGACUUUUAACUCCUACAAGACAAGAACAGUGUUUUAUUCACUUAUGUUUAUGUUGUAUCUUCAAUAGUGAUUCCUAAUAGGUGCUAAAAUUUUUUUGAUGGAAGAAUGAUUGGACAAAAACACAGGCAAGACUGAUUUUGGUAAUAGAGAAAGGUCUGUGUCAUUGCAUAUGAAAGGUAGUUUCUGCCUGUGGUGUCUGUGACACGUCGAUUCUAUCAUAAGCAGUUCCAGCCAAAUUGGCUCUCCUCAGGCAUAGAGAUGUUUUUCCUCAAUCAGAUUAUGUACCAUUUACCAUAUACUACUUGAUGCCAAAGUAUGCUCCCCUGAUGAGCAUGACAUUUUAUUUGCAUGCACAUAAGCAAGUUCAUAGUGUUUAAUUUGAAAGUGCAAUCCCGCUAAGAAUGCAUUUGUUUGUAUUUAUUUAGAUUUAUUUAAAAGCUUUUUUUUUUUUUUUUUUUUUUUCAGAUGGGCACAUGGGGGUGAUCUAGGGUAUGGAAGCCUGACAAAGCUGAUGAAAGCUGGUUCUCCCUUGAAGAAUGCAUUUUGGAUGAAAGAAAAAAAAAUGACCAUUAAUAGGCUUCAGUCCUCUUUUUUUUUCUUGUUUCAGAACAUUCUGUCUUACCAGAGGGGCUGGAAGAGAAGUGAGACCAAUAAUUUGGAGCAGAGACCCUUGAUGUACAAUCGUGAUGAAUGGGGAAAGUCUUCUGGAUUUGGUUAUUAAAAGGUCAGUAAUGGCUAUCAGUAGUACAGUUUCAAUAGGUAAGAAGCAAGACUUGAGGAGAGAGAGGAGAGAAGCGCAGGCUCCUAGGCUUCCAGGCUUGAGGGAGCUUUUGUUGCAAUGUUGAUGCCAACAGCCUGAGCAGUUCUCCUCUGACAAGGCAGCCAGGAAAGGAGAGGACAGGUUAGUUUACAAUUUUAAAAGGAUAUGAGUUUUUUAGAAAACUUUCAAAUUUUUAGAGUUUAAACUUAGUGAUUGCCAUGCCUGGAGAAUCUAAUCACUGCAAAAAAUCAUUUUCAAAGAAAAUGAUUCCACAGCUGAAAAGCAUUUUGCAUGCUAGGAGUGGCUGAGCCUAAACAUUAUCAAAAGGUGCAAGGAACUUUUCUACUACGAGUUUCAUGUUUGUUUGGUGAAAUUGAACAAAAAACUACAUAAACUCAGUUUAUUUAUUUUAGAGCAAAAUCUUAUUUCUUAAUUCUUUCCUCUUCACUAUAGAUGCCCAUAUAUAUAGGACUGUCAAGUCUAUUUUAUACUAAGAAGAAGGUGAAAUAAAUAAUACGCUAAAAGUUGAAUGCUAGAUCUCUUGAGUUGAUUUUGGUUCUUAAGGGUUGAGGAACUCAAAGGCAAAGAGAACUUUUCUUUGAGAAGGCGCCACUGUGGUCUAAGACAUUUCACAUAUCCAUUUGGCUUUUGCUAUUUGCAUAAUAACCACCCAUUUAUUUUCUCAUUUGUCUAAAUUUACACAUUCAUAUGGUUUACUUUAUACAUAAGAAGACAUCACUCCCCCUUACCCCCAUCAGUAUGAAGCAAUGAAGAAAAUCUGUUUGCCAAAUGAAAAAUUUAAGAGAUUUUUCAAAAGGGGCAUUAAUGAAUUGGUGGUAGCUCUGGAAUAAAAAAGAAUGGCAAUAAUUUUCAAAUUAGUAAGUUUCUUCUUUGUUCUUCUCCAGAAGAUUUUGAAUGGAUUGCCCUAACUUCAAGCCAGAAAGUCUACUUUUCUCUUUAAAAUCCUGAUUAUCUCAUAAGUCUGUGCUUCAUUAUGUUUUCUGCUGUUCUAUCCUUAUAUUUUCAGACAGAGUCACUUCCAUGGGAAAUUCAGGAUAGAAUUCCAAUAUUUCAAAGGGAGUCCACAUAAAAAGUUUGAAAACCAGUUUUGCAAAGAGCUUUUCUUCUAUUAUCUUUUUCAUUGACACUGAAGCAGGGCUUGAGAAAUUAUUAGGCAUUUUCCACUUGGAGAUUCCUAGAUAAUAAGAUAAAAUAUAUAGUUGGAAUUGGCAGUGAACAGAAAAAAUAAAGAAGUAACUAUCUGAUCAAUCACCAGAGUAGCUAAUUACCCAAAAAUAAGUUUCCAUUUUCUUUGAUGAAUUCUCUCUGGCUCUGGCUAUCUGAUUAAUUACAGUGUAUAAAUCGAAACUAGCUCCUCAGAGGUGAGAAGCCACUAGAAAUGCUCUUAUAAAAUGUUCAAUGAAUUCUAUCUGUUCCUUAAAUCAUGGAUUGCUACUUAAUCACAGGUUACUUUUAUUCAGCAGCAUAGAAGGGAAUGACAUAAUAACCCCUGGAAAUUGCUGAGACUGCUUAUUUAAAAAUCUACAUAUAGAAUAAAAUAUCCUUCCUAAAGACAUCAUUAAAACUAAAGAUCUUGACUCUGUUACUUUAUUUAGUUUUAAGAAUACUCCCUGGUUCAAUCCCCAGUGUUCUGUUUGGUUACCAUUUCUUCCUUCUUACUCUUCAUACCUAUAACUAGUGCUUUCUCAAACGAUUGUAUCACGUUCUUUUAGUUUGUUCUGUGAGUUCUUAUUAAAAUAUCAGACUUUUAAAAAUGUAACUAUUAGAGUUGAACACCUCAUAACUAUAAUUGCACCCCAAAUGGAGGAUUGGGGGAGGGUAGCAGAGGUGGGAGUUGUGAAUAAAAGGAAUUAAAAUGGUUCUCUUAUCUUUUUAGUUUCCUUCUUCUUCUUCUUCUUCUUCUUCUUCUUCUUCUUCUUCUUCUUCUUCUUCUUCUUCUUUUCUUCUUCUAGUAUACUUUGUGAGUAGCAGAUGAGACAGAAAAGGGAGCAGGAAGUGUGAAACAACUGUGAUGCACUUUUCAUCUUCACAGAAAAGCAUUUCAGUGAAUAAUUUCAAAUGCAACAGAAGACAAAACAAAGCAAAACAAAAAAACCCCUAGAAUUAUGUUCUGAUUUUCUAUUUCUGUUGUUCCUGCAUUCUUCAUUAUGCUCUCUCCCUCCACAAAUGCUUUCCAAGACACUGAUCACUUUUAAAAACUGAGGUUUGAGAGUGAAAUGCCAGUAAGACAAGACAGGAGCCCUGAGUGUAGGAUCAACCAAAUGGGCUGUAGAGUUAUGGAGCCCACCCCCACACCAGCCUCCCAACUAGAGGGAGUGGCUAAUGAUUUCAGAGGAAGGUGCACCUAGUGUACCCAAAUCUCUGUAUUUUCCAAUUAAGUCUAGUAAUCUGGAUUUUCAUGUGAUAUUUCUUGAAUUUUGAAUGUUGGAGAUUAAUUUAGUUAAAGGAAAAUACUGCAUGGGCCAAGGGCACACCCAUGCAGGCCAGAUUGAGUCUUCAGGCCACCACUGUGCAACCUAUGACAAACAUAGUAUUAUAGGCUUUGGAUAGAUCCCUGCUCUGGGAACUUCAGCACUACCAAGAAAGGAGAAACUGCUGUUCAUAUGCUUUGAUUUCAGUAUAAGGAGAGAAUGAAACUGACAUAAACUCAUAAGCACAUAUAUUUGCUUGAAAGAGAGACCAAACUCUAGCCCAUUGUCUUUGUGAGGAGAAAAGUGUGGAAUUAUAUAUCUAUUUUGUUUUUUUUUCCCUCCCAGGAGCUACUUUUUGAAAGCCUUCUUCAGCUCAUAGAAAUGUUUUCUGAUUUCAUGGAAGCCUUUGAUUCAUGCAUUCAUUUUUGUUUUGUUUUACAUCAAGAAGCUAGGUUCAGUUAAGUAUACUUUCAUCUAUUUUUAGUAUAUAUAUUUAAGUGAGGCAUCAAUCUUUAAAUACGUACUUGUCUUUGAAAAUUGCACCAUGUAUAAGUCUUGGCUAAUGUGGUUAUUAAUGGAGAUAGACUCUUUGUUGCUACUCCCAAUUUAUACUUGCUUUGGUUGAUAAGAAAGACAGGGCAGAGUGGUUAAGACUACCAGCUUUUGGGUGCAAAAUAAUUCAAGAACCAGCAAGGGCAGCUUUGGAGUGAGAAAGACUUGAGUUUGAAUCCUUCUCCCACCUUUUUAAAAACAACCUGUCCUUGCUUAAAGCACCUAACAUCAUUAAGCUUCAGUGCUACUAUUCACAGUGUUAAAGUAGUUUUUGUGUGCUUAGAAGGUACUAGAUGGAUGGAGAUUUGUUGAGCUGGUUGGAACAAAGGCUUUGUUUCCAGAGCAACUAACAAUGUGGGAUAGUGGACAGAGCCAGAUAAUGGAAGCUCUUGAAUACCUAUGAGGAGUUUGGAGUCUAGGGCCUAAGUCUGGAGCCCAAGUUUGUAGACUAAGGUGAAGAAUAAGAACAGUUGAGCAGGGGACAACCUUAAAAGAGGGUACUUUAAGCACAGUGAUGAAGUAGCACUGUGUGACAUGGCUCAGGCAUGAGUAGCUAUCAUAGUAAUCCAUAGGAGAGGUAACAUUGGUCUGAAUUUGAUCAUGGCUGUAGAAUCAAAAAAGGAGAAAUAUCAUUUAAACAAUAUCACCAGAUGUGGCUUUCAUAUGAAUAGACUCCUUCUGAAAUUAUGUUUUUGGGAAAGCUACACAGCAGCGAAUCUCAGAAUUUUAGGAUUAUUUUAAAGGUAAUUUAAGAUUUUGAAGAGAGAAAAGAGAGCUGAGGACUGAGAACAUAGUACUGUCUAACAAUUAAGAAUUGGGAAAAUAUACUAGACGGAAUGGCGAAAGACUACAAUAUUCUAAUAAGCCUUUUUUUGUUUAAACAUUUCAAGGUAUUUUUAUACCCCUUAUCUCCUUAAUGCUAUUGAUAUGUUAAUCCAUAUCCCAUGUAUCUUUUAGGAAAGCAACAGAUUUCCUCAACUUGUAUUUCCCAUUUUUAUAUGUCACUUUAGGGUUUAUUUCUCCUAAGAGGUUUUUAUUACUUGGCUUCACUCUUCUGUGCCUGCCUCUGAGUUGAUGUGGGGUUAUAUAUAGCAGAACGAGACUGAGAACAUUGUGAUCUGGUGUAAAAUAUGAAGUGCAUAUCCUUGUCAGUUUUGUAUAUGUCUAUAUCAGCAAGGAGUCAGAACCUAUUUCAUUUUCUUCUUAAUGGGUUGUGUGAUUUUCAUUUUGUUAAAAAUAAGACUGUCAGCAUGUACAGGGCUGGAGCCAUCUUCUGUUGUUGCUUCUGUCCAAUAAAAUCUUAUAUUAUACCUUAUGAUUCUGUAUCAUGAAAUAUGAAAUUGAACUGUGAGUAGGUUUAUGUUAAAUUUUAUAUAGUAAUUUUUAUUUAUUUUCCAUGCCUGCUGUACUUAGUAGAAACUAAAAUAAGGGGUUAUGUCAAAAUUUGUAAAGGACUUAUUCAUGCUUUCUGGUCAUUUAACUUUCUUAUUUAUUUAUUUAUUUAUUUAUUUAUUUAUUUAUUUAUGAUAGUCACAGAGAGAGAGAGAGAGGCAGAGACACAGGCAGAGGGAGAAGCAGGCUCCAUGCACCGGGAGCCCGACGUGGGAUUCGAUCCCAGGUCUCCAGGAUCGCGCCCUGGGCCAAAGGCAGGCGCCAAACCGCUGCGCCACCCAGGGAUCCCCUAACUUUCUAUUUAACAUAAAUUAACUGAUUAACUUAUUUGUUCCUUCAUUUACCCUGGUCUCUGGCCAUUUUGUUUAUUUACUUAUAAAAUAUUUUAUAUUUAUUUAUUUUUAGAGAGAGAGAGAGAGUACACGUGCAUGAGGGGAGAGAGAGAGGGACAGAAUCUUCAAGCAGACCCCAUGUGCUGAGUGUGGAGCUCCACCUGGGGCUUGAUCCUAUGCCUCUGAGAUCACGACCUGAGCCUAAACCAAGAGUCGGACACUUUUCCUACUGAGCCACCCAGGUG
rnacentral:lncRNA from 1 species